rnacentral:rRNA from 1 species
GACAUAGGUCGCAAACGUUAUCCGGAAUUAUUGGGCGUAAAGAGCGUGUAGGCGGCUAGGUAGGUCCGUUGUGAAAACUCGAGGCUCAACCUCGAGACGCCGGUGGAAACCAUCUAGCUAGAGUCCGGAAGAGGAGAGUGGAAUUCCUGGUGUAGCGGUGAAAUGCGCAGAUAUCAGGAAGAACACCCGUGGCGAAGGCGGCUCUCUGGUACGUGACUGACGCUGAGACGCGAAAGCGUGGGGAGCGAACAGG